rnacentral:rRNA from 1 species
GGUCCGUAGCGGGACAAUAAGUCAGUGGUGAAAGUUUGCGCUCAACCGUAAAUUGGCCAUUGAUACUGUUGCUCUUGAGUGCUUGUGAAGUGGUUAGAAUGAGUAGUGUAGCGGUGAAAUGCAUAGAUAUUACUCAGAAUACCGAUUGCGAAGGCAGAUCACUAACAAUUCACUGACGCUGAUGGACGAAAGCGUAGGUAGCGAACAGGAUUAGAUACCCUGGUAGUCUACGCCGUAAACGAUGGUUACUAGCUGUUCGGACUAAUUGAGGUCUGAGUGGCUAAGCGAAAGUGAUAAGUAACCCACCUGGGGAGUACGUUCGCAAGAAUGAAACUCAAAGGAAUUGACGGGGGCCCGCACAAGCGGUGGAGCAUGUGGUUUAAUUCGAUGAUACGCGAGGAACCUUACCAGGGCUUAAAUGUAGUUUGACAGGGGUGGAAACAUCUUUUUCUUCGGACAAAUUGCAAGGUGCUGCAUGGUUGUCGUCAGCUCGUGCCGUGAGGUGUCAGGUUAAGUCCUAUAACGAGCGCAACCCCUUUGGUUAGUUACCAGCAUAUAAUGAUGGGGACUCUAGCCAUACUGCCAGUGUAAACUGUGAGGAAGGUGGGGAUGACGUCAAAUCAUCACGGCCCUUACGUCCUGGGCUACACACGUGCUACAAUGGUAGGGACAGAGAGCAGCCACACCGCGAGGUGGAGCGAAUCUACAAACCCUAUCACAGUUCGGAUCGCAGUCUGCAACUCGACUGCGUGAAGCUGGAAUCGCUAGUAAUCGCAUAUCAGCCAUGAUGCGGUGAAUACGUUCCCGGGCCUUGUACACACCGCCCGUCAAGCCAUGGAAGCUGGGGGUACCUGAAGUCGGUCACCG